rnacentral:rRNA from 1 species
GACGAACGCUGGCGGCGUGCCUAAUACAUGCAAGUAGAACGCUGAAGGAGGAGCUUGCUCUUCUGGAUGAGUUGCGAACGGGUGAGUAACGCGUAGGUAACCUGCCUGGUAGCGGGGGAUAACUAUUGGAAACGAUAGCUAAUACCGCAUAAGAGUAGAUGUUGCAUGACAUUUACUUAAAAGGUGCAAUUGCAUCACUACCAGAUGGACCUGCGUUGUAUUAGCUAGUUGGUGGGGUAACGGCUUACCAAGGCGACGAUACAUAGCCGACCUGAGAGGGUGAUCGGCCACACUGGGACUGAGACACGGCCCAGACUCCUACGGGAGGCAGCAGUAGGGAAUCUUCGGCAAUGGACGGAAGUCUGACCGAGCAACGCCGCGUGAGGGAAGAAGGUUUUCGGAUCGUAAAGCUCUGUUGUAAGAGAAGAACGAGUGUGAGAGUGGAAAGUUCACACUGUGACGGUAGCUUACCAGAAAGGGACGGCUAACUACGUG